GGCUCCUGCCGACGCUCCUAGUUGGUCAACGCCAAGCCUGUCAUGUCUCUCAGCAGCCGCCGGGGCUGCAGUGCGGAGCGUGCGGGAAGCGGCGAGGCAGACGACUAGAUCCCAGGCAUUCCUCACCCGCUACACACGCGGCCCACCUACAACCUACUAGCUUCUCUGCAGCCCGGGCUCUAAUUGGGCGCCGCCCGGACCCCUCGCUGCUGAUUGGCCGCACCAAGUGCUCAUAACCGUUCCUUCCCGCCCCUUCGCGCACGCGCCGGGCACCCUAUCUAGCAAGACCACCAAAAUUUUCUCGUGGACCACCGAUCGGUGACCACUGGUGUAUACUCGAUCAACAAUCAAUACGGUGCUAUGUCCCAAAGAAGAAUGGAUAGGUCCAGGGACCAAGGAGUGGAAGUAGGAGUGGCUCCUCUUGCCAUUAACCCAAUGAUCCCACUGUACUUUGAACUCACGUCAAGGGACCAGCAGGCAAGAAAGGUGAGGCACCGUCCUGGAAGGAACAAUUGACCCUGCUCAUCAGCAAGAGCUAGGGCUUUGGUUACACAAUGGAGCAAAAAAGAUGUUUGGCACCCAGAUGAUCCAGUUGGGUGUCUGUUACACCCUUGCUCAGUUUUAAUGAAGGAGCAGAGCAGCCAAUUUGGGUGCCAGAGUAUUACGUGCAUCACCACAAUGGACCCAGAGAAGCUCCUUGUCCCUUCAUUCAAAAGACUGAGAGUUGCCCUGAUGACAGCAAAACGGAAGAAGAAAACUGAAGGCUACACAAGGGACCGAGGUGCCAACAUGGGGUCAUCUGAAGAAGUUAACAACUGAAGCCCAGCAGAUAGUAGAAAAGCAAGAAGUGGAAGCUACUUCCUCACCCAUGUUUCUGGCUAUGCUAGCAUUGGUUAGCUGCCAGUCUUCUGUAAAGUCUUGCGCAGCCAAUUCCAAGGACUCUGAGUAAAUAUACACCAGCAGCAAAAUAAACUUUCAUUUAGUAGCUAAAAAUGUUAACAUGUCUGUAAUUUGAUUCCUCUCUUAUUGCUGUGUUGCAUUGGCAUUGUUUUGUUAUUAUUUUAAUAGAGCUUUGUUCUUGAUAUUUAAGUUUUA